CAGGGUUGAUUUCUUUUAGGAUUGACUUGUUUGAUCUUCCUGCAGUCCAAGGGACUCUCAGAAGUCUUCUCCAGCAACAGAAUAUGGCUACAGAAAAUGAAAUUUAACCAUCAUUCUUUGCUUGUGCAAAUACACAAGUGCAUGCAUGCUAGUGAUUUUUUAGGGAGAAAGUUGACUCAGCAUCAUGGUGGUGGGGAGUGGAUUAUUUUUAUUUCAAGGAGCAAGGUAUUUUUAAUGCUGAAACUAAAGCAGAAUUAGAAACUUGUGAAAAUAUAGACUAAUUAUUAGAAUUGUUGUCAAUUACUCUUAUUAAUCAGGUUAAUCAAUUAAAACAAAUUCAGUUAUUAUAAAUAAAAAUUUCAUCUCUCCUACUAAUCAGUUAAAAUUCAUUUCCAUGGGCCAGAUUAAUUAGGUACAACUAAUAAUUAUUAAGCAUCUCAUCUAUGCAAAGUUUUGUUCUGUGCACUGUUGGAGAAAUAAUGAGAAAUUAAAAAGCAGUUCUUGAUAUUGUUGUAGAGAUUGUCUGAAGAAGGAAUAAGAAGAAAUACAAACAACUAUGAUAAAAGUCACUAUAUAUUCAUUGCCAGUAACAAGAUAGAAAGUGCUGAGGAUGGCAGUUUUUACAGGAAAAAACGUAAAAGAUGGAGUUUAAAGGACUCACAGUGAUUCCAUAUGAGCAUUAAAAAGAUGAGGUUUCAGAAGCUUCUGUCAGUGUUUGACUUGAAUACAAGAUAGAGAUAAGUUCUGAAGUGUAUUUAAGCUUCACAUUUUUGUGAUUUGAAACCAGGAAAAACUUUUGAGUAUGUAUUUCUUUUGUUUUUUUAUUUAAAAAAAUACUUUUUUGCUAGAUCUCAAACUUUCAUAAUCAGAAAAUUAAAUUUAUGUUGUAUCUUGCAUUGGAUUUUUAAAUAGUAAGUGCUAAUUGAGUAAUUAUUCUAGGCCUGCUGAUCUUAUCUGCUCAUUUAUAAUUCAUCUCAGAGCACAGAACCAGAUAUUUAUCAUUGCUUUUUUUCUUUAGGAAAUAUGGACUCAAGCAUGAAAUUAAAAAAAAAAAAUCGCUGAGUCAACAUGGAAGUUUAAAUUAAUGCCCUGUUAUUAUUCUUUUUUUUUCCUUCUAUUAUUAUUCUUAAAAAGGAUCACCACCCUAAGUAAUAUUCAUGGUAAAUGCCUUGCAUGGAGGAGCCCUGUUCAUAUGGAAAUACAUCUUUAUCUCAUGAGAAAAUCAACUCCUCAACAUCCUCUCCUUCUCCAAACAAACAGACUAAUUUCAGUUUCUUCCCUUUGCCACAAAUAUUCCCUGCAUGUUCUUUACCAUUUACCUGGGCAAAAUCUGUAGUUUUCAAGCUCUUUUAAGUAGCAGAUGAGGCAGAGCUGUGCCUGGGCUUUCAGUUUAAGCUCAAGUGGCUCCCAGAGUUCAGGUCAGUGACCCAAUUCAGAGCAAUUCGACUAAUCACCUUUUAAAAAUAAUUUUAUUUCUUUAUUUAUUUUAUCUUCAGCCGUGCUGGGUCUUUGCUGCGGCAUGGGCUUUUCCUUAGGGUGGCUACUUUUGUUGCAGAGCAAGGGCUGUAGGCUGAGGGCUUCAGAAGAUGCGGCCUGUGGGCUCAGCGGUUGUGGUUCCCAGGCACAGGCUCAAUAAUUUUGACACAUGGGCUUAGUUGCUCUGUGGCAUGUGGGAUCUUCUCAGACCAAGGAUCAAACGUGUGUCCACUGCAUUGGCAGGCAGUUUUUUUUACCACUGAGCUAUCAGGGAAGCCCUCAUUUAAUCAUAUGUUGUCUUUAUUUCAAGUUUAUGCAGAAACCAGCAAACUGCUCUGGCUGGGCCGGUGUCCUUGUGCCUUGAAGGGCCCUACGCUUGUUUCAGGGCUCUGCUGACACCAGCUGGAGAUUCUUAACACUUUUCAGCUGGGAACCCUGUAUUGUCAAAUCUUUCUGGGCUCCCCUUACUGUGGCGGCAGUUUCAAAACUGGAUGAAAGUACCAAAGUACUGUCAUUUUUUGGCACGAAGAGGAAAAUAACAAAUUUUUGGAGACCCAGUCAGCUGACAUGCCAAAUUUUCCCUGGCACAUUCCAAUUAAGAGAAAAUAUUUAUAUGUGCAGUAGUCAAGGAAGAUACAGGCAGAUUUGAUCAGUUCAACAAGUACUUCUGAUAGCCUGAAGGAAAAUGAUUCUCUGUGUAAAACUAAGAUCAUUUUCCCAGCCCUAUACCAGAUCUCUUCUUCUUUUGUUGUUUUAUCUGUUUGCUUCUCUUUUUAAAAUAUUUAUUCUUUUAGUUUGAUGAUAGUUGCUUUACAAUGUUGCGUUGGUUUCAAAAAGGAUCCCGUCAUCAUUUUAUAUAUAUAUAUGUGUGUGUGUGUGUGUGUGUGUGUGUGUGUGUGUGUGUGUGUUUUCAAAAAGAAAUAUUGAAGAGAAUAGAAUGGAAAUUGGUUCAUAAGCUCAUGUUGCUUCCAUUAGCUGCACAUUCAUCUUCAAUGAAAACCACUGACUAGAGCUGAGCAGAUAGAAACUGAUCCUGAUGUGAUAAGCCCUUGAACAACCAGCCUGCUCUAUCAUCAUUAAUGGGUUUUGUAAAUUAGUAAAUUGCUUUUUUCAAAGUUUUUAUUAAGAAAAAUAUAUAUGAAUGUUGAAAUUGCCUUUGUAUCAACACCUUUAAAAACUCAUCUGUUGGUAUGUACCUUGCCAUAUUUCCUAAGGACACUUUUGUUGCAGAAAGUAUUCUUGCUCUGUUCUCACCUAAAUAUAAUAGCAAAAUAAAUAAAUAAAUAAAAGGCAAGAGAGUUAACUUGCUGUCUGUUUAGUUUGACUCCCCUGAUGUCAGAGUUAUGGUGGCAUGCAAAUAGGUUUCCCUGGAGAUGUAGUUAUUUCAGAGUGAUGGUUUUUCCUGACCAUGAACUGAAAGAUAUGGCAUCUUUUCUUAGACUGUAUAAAAAUUCACUUAGUCAUUGUUGCUGUUUAAAGUUUUAAUAUUUUUUUUAGUUGAUAAUAUAUGAUGGAGAAGCCUGCAGCUAUGAUUAUAUGGGCUCUUUUACCUACCUUUGCUGCAUGACAGUGAAGAGGCCAUUUUUAGAAAAGCACAGAAGCGUGUUAUGCAGUACCUUCUGUAGCAGCAAACCCACUUAGAUUACAAAUCUGUUCGAGAACUGCAUUUUAAGAAGCAUGUGUUCCAAUUUAACUUCCUAGAUUUUGAUAAAGUGCUGUCUUUACUAUUGCUGAAUAUCUACUUUCAUAAUAAAGCAGGUAUGAAUUGAUGCCCAUGUAGCCUCCCCUGCCUCCUCUGCAUAGGGAUGAGAAAGAGGGGUACAGUGCAUAGUUACAUACUUCUUGAUACACUAUGACCUGAACAUUCAAUGUGAAAAAGAUCCCUAUGCUGUUUUCCCAUAUACCAUGUUUAGAUAUGUAAGGAGGUGUUCAGUAACUGUGUUAUCAAGGACUAGACUUUAGUAACAUCUUACUAGCAAUUUUGUAAGCAAUUUACUUAGCUUCUAAAUAAAGGAACUGCUGUAUUUAAGUGUUUGACACAUAAAGAGAUGCAUAGUUAAGACAUUUACUUCAAGAUCUAGCAGACCACCCCUCUUUGACUGAACUCCAUGGUAGAGCAAUGGUGGCCCUGUGAAGAAUAUCCACGUUAGUGAAUUUGUUUUUCUUUGAUUAGUAGAAUCCUCAAGAAACCAAAUAUGGAAUACUAUAAGAGAGCAUUUUAGGCAAUAUAUCCUCUUAAAGUUCUAGAAUUCUAGAGUUGCCUGUAUUUUCAUAAUAUAAUUAAGCAAAUAUUUUUAAAUAUUUUAAACAAUAUUAAAUUUAAUAUAUGAAUGAAAUGCAAUGUGAAUGAGCAUGAGUAAAUAUGAGUAAAUAUUUUAAAGAAAUCAUAUAAAUGUGCAAUAUAAAUUAUGUUAUAUGUAUAUUAGUACAAUUUUAUUUUUUAGGGGGAACCAAUACUAUCAUGGUUUUUUCAAAAUUAUUUUGGCAGAGAUUGAGACCUUGAAUUUUUCUAUCUUCAAAUGAUAAAGAGAGCAACGUCUUUAAAUUCAUGCAGUUUGGAUUCUCAGGUAAAUUAUAAACAUGAACAGCCAGGAAUUAAAGAGAAACUCAAAAUCUUUGGUCAGAAAGUGAUCUUAAAAAAUUUAAAUAUACUUUUCAUAGCUUCAAAGCAGACAAUUUCAGGUCCUUGCCAUUGGAUAUGGGUGAAUAUCAUUCAUGAUGUAGGACUUUCAUAGUCACAGUUUGAAAGAACUCUUGCAGAAAAUGUAAAGUUUCCAUUUUAUCCAAUAAAUUUAAGCAUCUUACAGCAAAGGAAGUUCAUGAGUGGUGGUUUCUGGACUGCUGAGAUGAGAGAGUUGUAGCCACAUGUAUGCACAGGAAGCCUCUAGGCUCCUCUAUACGUGUACCUGUGUCUUAGACAAGAUGGAAUAAUCAGACCUCAAAAGCCCUAAUGGACAGUAUUUUCUUUUCUGGAUUCCUCUUUAUAUAAAUGUGUCCUUUAAAAGUUGAUUUGGAUCAGAGUUGUGUUUUCUAGCUUAUUUAAUCUCCUGAAAUUGGAGAUUGCUAUUUAACCCUAUGACAGAUGGAGACAACCUGUCUCAGCCUUCAAAGAUGAAAUGUGAAUGAGCACAAGUGAGUAAAUAUGAGACUAAUUGAAGUGGACUGACUGAAGGACCAAGGAAGGAUGCAUUCCUGGCGCUCCUCAGACUCCAGCUUUGAAGCCAAUCACCAGUCUGUAAAUGACCCCACGAACCUACAGCGGAAGGGGUUAGAAGGUUACUUAAACACACAGUCCUUUAUAAGUCUAUUAGAAACACCUUUAGGCCUUAGUAUCUCUGAAUAUGUCUGGUCUGUCUUAUCAGUUAUAAAGUAAGAAUUAAAGAAUACUGAUUUUAGGAAGAUCUCUGCAAUUUUACGUUAUUCAGAUAAAAACUUUUAGUGUAGUACAAUCAAAUGUUAAGUAACUGACUAGACAGCCGUGGUAGCAUUGCAGACCUUCCACCUUCUCACCUGAAGUAUCAAUAUGCCGUUUUGUUCCUUCUGCAACAAUAUUUGCCUCCUAGGAAAAUAAGAAAACAGCCAAAUAAUGAAGCAACGCUGCAAACAGUAUGAUUCAAAGUCCAGUUUAUAAACUGUUGCAUUUCAUAAACAUGUGUUAAAACAAUGAAUAAGAGAAACAGUUGUGUUAACCGGGGCCACAAAUUUAAAACGCUAGAAGGACCAAGAAGAUUCUACAUGGGGAGAAAGUUGAUUUACACACACUGUCUAUGUCAAUAGUGAGGACUAUAGCAAAUUGGACAUGUAUGUUCCUUUAUAAGUAUGUGGGCCCAGGAAUGCUAGAUUUUCUGUGUUUUUAUCUAAAUUUGUAUGCAAAAGAUAUCAAUUGCUAAAUGUAGGUUCAGAAUUUUUAAAAAAACCCUCUAUGGAACAAACCACACACACACAGACAAACACAUGUUUUCAAGAGGCAUUUGGCUCUGAGGCAACCAGCUUGCAAGUUCUGAUCAAAUGUAUAAGUUCAUGCACAGAUAUAAAACUCUAUGGGUAACAGGCAUGUGAGAGAUGCAUGUUUAACUGAGUGGAACAUAAUCUGCAGAGGUACAGACUUUGGUUUUCAAAUGUAUAACACUCAUUUUUUAUUGUUGAAUUUUCAGAAGUCAAAUUAAAGCUAUAUUAGACAUACUCAGCUAUGCAAACUAGAACUUAGCUAUUUCAGAAAGCAAUAUUAAUGCUAGAGAAAAUAAGUGCUAAAUUAAUCUGAAAUAUUUUUCACAAUUCAGUUAAGCCACACUUAUUGAGUAUCCAGUUUAAAAGGAAUUGAAGAGGUGAUUGAAAUGGAGUUCCUAACCAAAGUAGUUGUUAAUCCAGUGGAUGAGAAAGACUAGCUUUAAUAUAGCACAGAUAAAAGCAAAUGUACAGAUGUCACGAGAGAGAGAAGAAAUGACCUCCUUUGUGCCUUCAUAGUACAAAGGAAGGAAAGAUCAAUUCUUUGCAGACAGGAAAGAUCAAGGAAAGCAUCCUGAAGGAAGUGCCAUUUCAGGUGUGUCUGAGAGUAUGAAUCAUUGCAAGUUUUCACAUUCCUGGGCUGAACAAUAGUAAAUGGUUUCUCCUGACUGGAGCAUAGAGGAAUCAGAGAGGGGGUGAGUGGGAGGCUAACUUGCAACAGGACUGCAGAGGGCACUUUGGGGAUUUUAUUGUAUAGAAAGAAGAGAUCCGAGGGCUUUUAAUAGGUGCAGUCUCUUUGUUAGAAGUUAGUGUUGGUACAUUGUAAAACAUGGAUUAGAGAUGGAAAAAAAAUGAGACUGACAACAGAAAGAUUAAUUAGGUGGCUAUUUGAAUAGUGUAGACAGCAAACAGUGAGAACUUGAGCUAUGCAGAGACAGCAGGACCUUUGAGACCAUGGAUGUGGGUGUCAAACUGUAUGACAAUUCAGGGAACUGUUUUCUCUUUCUUGACAACACUGGCAGUGAAAUAAUUGGACCUAGAUAUUAGUUUUUCUUUUUUUUCUCACUUUGUCUGCUCAGCAUUCUUUCUGAAUUUCAUUCUAACCAACUGAAUAAGGGAAAAAUGGUAAAACAGUGGGUAUUUGGAUUUUCCUACGUAGUCAAAAACAAGUUCUAUUUCAGUGUCCGGGCAUAUAUUCUUUUAUGAAUGAAAUCUAUUGAGAAGCAUGAGCAAAAAGAUAGGAAAUAUUUUGUUCUACUUUUAUUAUAGACUCUAAAGUUGGAUAACUGAUAAAUUUCAAAUGCACACACAGAUAAAGGUUAAAAUUCAUGAUAACAUAGAUUACAAAAACAAAGACAAGGAUUAAAAUUUUCAGAGCUAACUUUGAAAUGGCAAAAUGAAACAUGAAGAUGAAAACACAGUGAGGCAAUAUAAUUUUCUAAUCACCAUACCUUCUUAGUGAUGGUGUCCCCCUGUAAGUAUUUCUUAGGAAAUCAAGACCUUUCACAUGAAUGGAGUAUACAAUCCAGAGACAGUUGAUAAAAUGAAAAUAUUAUUUAUAACACUUUAAAAAGAAAUCUAGUCCCUGUCUUUUCCUUAUGAAAUGGAAGUAUAAAACAUCUGGUAAAAUUAAGGUCUCUAAAGAUAGUCUAGUCAUAUUCAGAGAGAAUAUCUGUAUGGAGCAUGCUAUAAUUUGGCCAUGUUAAUUGCUGCUGCUGCUGCUAAGUCACUUCAGUCGUGUCCGACUCUGUGCGACCCCAUAGACGGCAGCCCACCAGGCUCCCCUGUCCCUUGGAUUCUCCAGGCAAGAACA